UCCGGAGGGCAGGGAGCACACCUGGAGUGUGCAGCGGGUGGGCUGGGAAGGACACGGCUGUCAGGGCACUUCUUCAAAGCCCCCCCGGGCACGGCAGCCCGCGGCAAAGCGCUGCGAGUGCUCCGCUCACACCCUCCCCACGCAUUUCGCUUUCGCUCCCUCGCAGCAGCCGGAGACAGAGAAGAAAGCAAAGCCGGUUCCUUAAAUCCUGGGGGCGAGAGGAUUUCAGAGCCAUGGGCGGCCGGGAGCGGCGAGCAAACGAGCACCGAGGCUGGAAAGCAGGUCACAGGCGGCAGACUCCUGACCCCAAUGGCAGAAGUUGGUGGGAACACAUGCUCCGGCCCCAGCGCUCUUCCCUUCGGAGCGAACAGCGCUCUCCGCUCUCCUCCUGCUCGCUCUCCGGAGCGUUCCAGCCGGCUGCAGCCGCGCUUCUUAAGGUGGAUGGAAGCGCCGCCAGUAUUUUCUCCCCUACCUCAUCUCCUUGCUCAGCAGCUCGGGGCUAUAGGGAGACUGUGCAGUUUCAGGAGAUGCCCGACGUUGCCAAAAAAUAAUAAUAAUUAAAAAAAAAAAAAAAAAAAAAAAAAAAAAAAAAAAAAAAAGGCAGGAGGAAAGCGAAGGGGCGGGAGCGCGGCAGCUCCGCUCCUGCCAGCCCGGGGACGGGGAGCCGGUGCUGUCGGUAUGUGGCGGAGCAGCGAGCAAGCUCUAAUCUGUUCCUCUGGCUGACCCGGGGCUCGUUGCAUCUGAAUGUGACCUCUAGACAGAGCAUUAAUAACGAACGUGGCGCUGACCCAAGCUGACAAGGGGUGCGGCGCUUGGCACCCGCUCCCGCCCUCCCUCGCUCACUUUCUGUCUCCCUCGCUCUCGGCUGAAUGUCAGCGGCAGGGGGAGGGAUCCAGGAAAACAAAGCUUGGCUAAUAGUUUUCUCCGCUCUCAAGUGAAUCAAAGGCGCUUUUCUUUGGGGACGUGCGCGCCGGCGAGCCCAGUGCCGCACCGACGGGGUGCCGCGGAGCCUCGGGACACCUCAGCCCUGCAGCUGCUGCCCUGGCACAGGAGGGAUGCGGAGAGCUUUGGCACCGGUGCCGUAAUGGGCAGACCGAGGCCUCUGCUCCCGUACGGCGAGAGGAGGCUGGAAGGAAGAGGAGCUCGGAGAACGCGGUGCUGCGCUCAGCAUCUCGGGGAGCUGAGAAGAAAGGCGGAGGGGCAGCGCGGCAGGCGAGGGCUGGGGGCUCGCACCCCCUCGGCUCUCUGCAGCUCGGGUUUUUACCAGAGACAUUCCAAGGCUCUCUGGCACGGCUGCCCAGCUCCACCCUGGGCUUGGUGAGGGAGGAGAGAGCCCGUAAAAGGGUCCCUUAAUGGGAGCUCACGCGGAUUACCAGACCAAGGUUAUAGGGGAAAAAACUAAGUGAUACCAAUUCCCUACGCCUGACGGUACCUGGUAUGAUCCUUCAGUACCUCUUGUGCCCACACACCCUCUUGGGAGCGAACAUGGAGGCAGCUCUGGCUACGGCACAGCCAAAAUGUGCCGCAAUCCUAUUCUGGAGAAAGACCAGCCCUAUGGAGUCAGCGACACCACCCAAGGCAUCCCGAAAGCGCGGUCAGCAUCGCCUUCCCUCACUAACCUCGGGCUGGUUUGCAGAGGUUCAGAGAAGGUGAUGCUGGCACCAGCCUGCCGUGCUCCCCAGUGGACCUCUCGUUUGGUGACGGGACACAGGCACACCUCUGAUGUCCCACAGCUCCAAGGGAGCUUGCAGCUGAACUUCCCAGCACCUUUCACACCCAUCACGCUGCUCCUCUGCGGGGAGGCAGUGUCACUAAACAAGGUGUGGGUACCUGACCAGCAAGGGUUGGGACCCCCGACCAGCUCAGCUCUAGUGCAAUGUCCCAUCUCUGCUGGCCCUGGCUGGGGACCCUCAGCUCCCAGGUCUCACCCUUGAAAUGGAUAAUUCCUAUACCACUGCAUCCACCUGCUGCAAAACCUUGAGCCUUGUGCUCUGAUCA